UACGGAAGGAACGAGUGUUAUUCUUAGUGAUUGGGUGUAAAGGGUAUGUAGACGGUUAAUUUAGUUUACAUGUUGUUUAUUUAAAAAAAAAAAUAGUUAUAUGUAAAUACUAUUUAACUAGAGUAUAUUGGAGUUUAAUAGAAUUCUUGGAGUAGAGGUGAAAAGCAUAAAUUUUAAGAAGACUAUCAAUGGCGAAAGCAAUUAAUCAUAGUAUACUGACGUUCAGAUACGGAGGCAUGGGUAUCGAACAGG
rnacentral:rRNA from 1 species